rnacentral:rRNA from 1 species
UUUUCUUUCCGGAGGCAGCGGUGGGGAAUCUUGACAAUGGGGGAAACCCUGAUCCAGCCAAGCCGCGGAGUGAAGAAGGCUUUGGGUGUAAAGCAAUUUAUCUGGUAGGAAAGAAACGGGCUAUACCCGGGAGAGUGACGGUACAACAGAAAAGCACAGCUAUUCG